GUAUAUAUGUAUGUAUGUCUACCGUGGACCGGCAGGCCGGCAUGGACCGGCAUACGAUAUUUGCUUUUGUGACUCGUGAUCCUUUACCAAUUUCUACGUGAGUCAAUAACUUUAGCUCGAUAAAGAUAUGAAUAGUGACAAAACUAGUGAUAAGGAGGAUCCUCAGAAACAGCUAAAAAGAGGGAAAGGAGGCUUGCUAGACCCAGAGAGAAAGAUACAGGGCACACAGGAGCAGCAGGAAGUGAAGAGGCCACACAGGCACGCUUGAAGCAAUACAUGCAGGCAUAGGCAUACAGAGUGAAUCCCGACAUGCCUCUAUUCGAACAAUCUGCUGUUCAAUCCAAGAUGCUGUUUAUAUCUGCAGUCAUGCAUGCCAAUAAUGUCCAUCUAUCGAUUACCACUUGGACAAUAUGAAUACGCAGGCCAUGUCAUCAACCUGCCACAAGAUGUGGUGUCAUUUGCACAAUAUCUUUCAGCAGAGUUGGAUGCGUCGCUUGCCCCAUGGCGCUUGCGUCACCCUAGUUGUAGCUUCAUGUUUGGUACUCCUAGCCUCGAUCCCAGGCCAAGUUUUCGCUUUUAUAACGGUUAGGUGAACAACUAGGCCUGGUACUAGUUGUCUGCGCAUGCGUCAGUCGUUCGUCAGAUUCUGACUAAUGGAUAUUCUCUUUCACUUUCGUGACAUUUAUAUUUGUGUACUAUCGUGUACUAGAAGUCAGUUCCCGUUUUAUCAUUAUUGGAAUCGAUUGGAAUGGCUCUUAGCUGAAGCUUCUCUCUUCUCUGAAGCUUAGAAAACAUUAUUCUGAAGACUGAACAACAAGGGAAGAGGUAUAAAGCUUUGUCAAGCUUGUUAAGGUCAGAUAUUUUUGUGUGGGCCCUAUGCUAUCAAGUCUUGUUCAUGUUUGGUAAGAUCUAGGUAGACUAUAGUAUCAUCAUUAAUAUGGUGGAUCAAGUGAAGAGUGUGAUCUAGAGAACUUGGUGCUGCCAUCAUCAGCUCGUCGACAAUGACACUAUAACCUGUUUAAUAUGAUAUGUAUAGAUCUACACGUAUUUAGAAUGUCUACUUCUCUGUACAGGAACAAUGGCUACUAUCCAGCUAUCCCAACAUUGUUCCUCUUGGCUAUACUAACAGACGAGACUGGACAGUUUGAGGACUGGAGUAUGACCUGCUCAUUCGAGCGUUGCUGGGUAGCUCAGAGGCAUCAAGAGAAUCUACAUUUUCUCAAGCAAAGUUUAACUGAGUUACGAGUUGGGGCCUAGAAUCAGAGAAGUCCAGCACCCUGCUAAAUCGUUUUGAAACGUAAUUUGAAGGCAUUCAAUCAUCUUGAAGUUGCCCUGAUCGUGCUGCAGCACAACUGGCAACUCCCCAGGCCCUUGUGAAGCAGCUCCCUAUAUAUGUGCAUCUUUGUGUACUCACUCUGUGCAUUUUCUGUGUACAAAUUUCGAUUAUAAAUAUUUUUGCCGACC